rnacentral:snRNA from 1 species
ACAUUCACUUUGGCAAGAUAUAUACUAAAACUGGAAUAAUACAGAGAAAAUUAGCAUGAACUCUAUGCAAAGACAACACAAAUUUAUGACAUGUUCCAUAUUUUA